rnacentral:rRNA from 1 species
GAUGAACGCUGGCGGCGUGCCUAAUACAUGCAAGUCGAGCGAACAGAUGAGGAGCUUGCUCCUCUGACGUUAGCGGCGGACGGGUGAGUAACACGUGGAUAACCUACCUAUAAGACUGGGAUAACUUCGGGAAACCGGAGCUAAUACCGGAUAAUAUAUUGAACCGCAUGGUUCAAUAGUGAAAGACGGUUUUGCUGUCACUUAUAGAUGGAUCCGCGCCGCAUUAGCUAGUUGGUAAGGUAACGGCUUACCAAGGCAACGAUGCGUAGCCGACCUGAGAGGGGGAUCGGCCACACUGGAACUGAGACACGGUCCAGACACCUACGGGAGGCAGCAGUAGGGAAUCUUCCGCAAUGGGCGAAAGCCUGACGGAGCAACGCCGCGUGAGUGAUGAAGGUCUUCGGAUCGUAAAACUCUGUUAUUAGGGAAGAACAAAUGUGUAAGUAACUAUGCACGUCUUGACGGUACCUAAUCAGAAAGCCACGGCUAACUACGUG